rnacentral:lncRNA from 1 species
GGGAUUUUUCAGGCAGGAGUAUUGGAGUGGGUUGCCAUUGCCUUCUCCGAGGGACUCCUCUAGGCUCCUUUUAUUUCAGAAAAGGAAAAGUGAGGCUUAGCAAAGGAUGGCUGCCCCUUCUCCCCUACCCAUGGGUUAGGACUCCAGAAGCUCUAAUGAAGGGGCUUCUUCAGGGUUGCGGGGGUAAGGCCACCGCGCCUUUGACUCCUGGCUUGACAAACCACAAACCCACCAAAUUGAAGCAGCCAUUCUGGGAGCCACCACCCCAGGGGGUGGAAUCGUCCCGCCCCGCUGCGGCCCGCGUCUGCGCAUUCCUACGCCCUCCUUACGCCUCCCCGAAGCUUUGUGGGAAAUGUAGUCCGACUUCCUGGGGUGGCGGUGCCGCGAGGGGCGUCAUCAGUCCGCAGGCUGCCUUGGCUCCUUCUGGGAGAGGCUCCAUAUUCUCUGGAUCCUGCCAAUCCCCUGGGAAGGACACCACAGGAAGGAAGGAGAAGGCAAUGGCUGCUGGGCCUCUACUUUGGGGAGUUCAGUUUCAGGAUUCAAGGAUGUGUCUGCGGACUUCACCUGGGAGGAGCAGAUCCAUCUAG